AGUGAAAGAAAAUGGGACAUUUUAAACAAAUGUAUCACAGUGUGUUAUUAAAGAAACAUUAGAGCUGGUACAUGAACCUGGAGAAAGGUGGUUCUUGUGCUCCUGAAUGCUUUAGAACAUCUGAAAAGGAGGCUGGAGAUCACCGCUGCUAGGUGAAGUAGCCCCCGAGGACACUGCUCCACACAGCCAAGCUGAGGAAGAGGAGGCCUGAUGGCCUGGAGGCAAAACUGACCCCAGAAUGACCCUAAACCACCACAGGUCUCACGAGUACCAGAUGGCUCACAACUGUGAUCCCAGCAGGGCAGGACAUCUGUGAGCUCAAGUGCAAUGAAUUCUUGUGGACAUGGGAGAGAGAAGGAAACCUCCAGAUUAGGAAACCCAAAUCUCCAGCACAUUCUUCCCUCUCUGGCCACAGACACCAUGAUCUUGGUCCCCUGAGACCCACCUGACUGCAGGGCAACUCAUCUUCCCCUCCACAGCCACGGCUCUUACAGGACAAGGGGAAGCAGCUGUCCCACUAGCGGGGCCCGACUCUUCCUUCUCUGUCAUUUCUUCUCUAUGAAUUAGACUACUGAUGCCAUUAAGACCAACACUGACAAAACCUCAUCUGAAACCUUCGUCACAGUGACUCUGAAACCCGAGACCAACCGGUCUCCUUCGUCUUGAUUCUGAUUUUCAUGGAACUGCCCUGUUUUAGUCACAUCAGGCUAUACCUGGCAUGGUUAAAAGAAUGCUGGAGAGAGAUAGAGAACUUGCCAGCAUCUAAGUCCACACCCAACAGCACCCUUUUUCAGGGAUGAAAACUCUCACUCUAGUUCACACGCAAGGUAAGAGUAAGCUAGUAGCCUCAGGUCCUCUGCAUGUCUUAUAGCUUUAGUUUGGUACUUUCAUGGGACUCCCUAAUGUAUGAACGAGUGGGUCUCUGAUUCUUACG